rnacentral:tRNA from 1 species
GGGGACUUGGCGCAGCCCGGUAGCGCGUUAGCCUCCAGAGUUAAAAUAAAAAGAAUUUUUCUUUUUAUGAGGAAUGGUCGAGGGUUCAAUUCCCUCAGUCCCCA